CAUAUACUCCCUCCGUCCGGAAAUACUUGUCCUACAAAUGAAUGAUACAUCCAAUAUAUCCAUUUUUAGGACAAGUAUUUCCGGACGGAUGGAGUAUUAG
rfam:Hordeum vulgare subsp. vulgare, WGS project CAJW01000000 data, contig: morex_contig_157739